CAUAAGGCUGCUGUAUAUACUCAACCCAUUGGAAAACUGCCAAGAUAUCCCAUUUUUGGCAAUGCUUUCCCUGGCCAUUUCCUGUCCUUUUCCGUUCCUUGUUUGGUCGCUAUUCAGAUUUUCUUUCUUGUGCCCCCCCAAAAGAGGAAGGGUUUGUAGCCGCUCGCCAGAUGCUUGAUAGAUGCAAGCUGCGCUGCUUGUGUGGAUGCACAGAGCAGUUCUCGGAGGGGUCGCUGCCCUAGGAGUGCCACGUAAUGUGAAACAACCUGAGAAAUGCGUGUUUUUUUAUUUAGGGAGUGUGCUGAGGAGUGACAGGAUGGCAGAGAAACAGGGUGUCACGCUAGAUUAUGACUUCCAGUAAUCAAAGCACUGGGAAAAGAUGUUAAGAAACCCUCGUUUGGUGGAGACUGCCUUUUCUAAUCGGGUUUUCAGUAGGAGCGUACAAGAGACCUGCACUCCAGGGCACAGAU